rnacentral:tRNA from 1 species
GCCGGCUUAGCUCAUCAGGUAGAGCAACGCACUCGUAACGCGUAGGUGGUAGGUUCGAGUCCUAUAGCCGGCACCA